UACGAAGGGGGCUAGCGUUGUUCGGAAUCACUGGGCGUAAAGGGCGCGUAGGCGGCUUUAUAAGUCGGGGGUGAAAGCCUGUGGCUCAACCACAGAAUUGCCUUCGAUACUGUAGAGCUUGAGACCGGAAGAGGUAAGUGGAACUGCGAGUGUAGAGGUGAAAUUCGUAGAUAUUCGCAAGAACACCAGUGGCGAAGGCGGCCAUCUGGACCAAUUCUGACGCGUAAA
rnacentral:rRNA from 1 species